ACGACCUUUAAAUUUGGUCCAGAGAGGCUGAAAAGGUAAGAUUGUAUAUAAUUGUGUAAAAGCAGCAUUUUUAUGUAUAGCUUUAUUUCGUAUGCAACGAGCCUUCUGCCAUAGUAGAAGGCUCUUAUUUUU
rfam:Clostridium pasteurianum DSM 525 = ATCC 6013, complete genome.